rnacentral:rRNA from 1 species
AGGCUGGGCGGCAGGCUAACACAUGCAAGUCGAACGGUAGCCCUUAGGAGCUUGCUCCUUGGAUGACGAGAGGGGGACGGGUGAGGAAUGCAUCGGAAUCUACUCUUUCUUGGGGGAUAACGUACGGAAACUUACGCUAAUACCGCAUACUACCUACGGGUGAAAGCAGGGGACCUUUUAGGCCUUGCGCGAUUGAUUGAUGCGAUGUCCGAUUAUCUAGUUGGCGGGGUAAUGGCCCACCAAGGCGACGAUCGUGACCUGGUCUGAUAGGAUGAUCAUCCCCACUGGAGCUGAUACACGGCCCACACUCCUACUGCAGGCAGCAGUGGGGAAUAUUGUACAAUGGGGGCAAGCCUGAUCCACCCAUACCGCGUGGGGGAAGAAGGCCUUCCGGUUGUAAAGCCCUUUUGUUGGGAAAGAAAAGCACCUGGCUAAUACCCGGUUGUUCUGACGGCACCCAGAGAAUAAGCACCGGUUAACUUCGUGCCAGCAGCCGCGGUAAUACGAAGGGUGCAAGCGUUACUCGAAAUUACUGGGCGUAAAGGUGUGCGUAGGUGGUCUGUUUAAGUCUGUCGUGAAAACCCUGGGCUCAACCUGGGAACUGCGAUGGAAACUGAGCGACUAGAGUGUGGUAAAGGGUACCGAAAUUCCUGGUGUAGCAUUGAAAUGCGUAGAUAUCAUGAGGAACAUCCAUGGCGAAGGCAGCUACCUGGGCCUCACUGACACUGAGGCACGAAAGCGUGGGGAGCAAACAGGAUUAUACCCCCUGGUACCCCCCCCCCUAAACGAUGCGAAUCUGGAUGUUGGGUGCACUUUGACACGCACUAUCGAAGCUAUCGCGUAUCUUCCCCGCCUGGACGAGUCCCGGUCGCAAGACUGCAAACUCAAAUGACUUG